rnacentral:hammerhead_ribozyme from 1 species
AUUCAGCUGAUGAGUCCCAAAUAGGACGAAACGCGCGUCCUCGAU